rnacentral:rRNA from 1 species
GUCCUGGCUGUAAACGAUGUCGACUAGAUCGUGGUGGCUCUGACGCUAUCACGGUCGAAGCAAAAGUGCUAAGUCGACCGCCUGGGAAGUACGGUCGCAAGGCUAAAAACUCAAAGGAAUUGACGGGGGGCUCACACAAGCGGUGGAGCAUGUGGUUCAAUUCGAAGCAACGCGCAGAACCUUACCUGGGCUUGACAUGCUAGGAUUAUCCCUGUGAAAGCAGGGUAGGCCCUUCGGGGUACAACUAGUACAGGUGCUGCAUGGCUGUCGU